CACCGACAUCAGGGAUUCAUUGUGCGAACCGGCCCCGACGGCAAGAUAGGCGUUCAUGCCCAGCUCUUUCAUUUGCUGCUCGCCAAUCACGCGGGUUGAGAUGUGUUUACUGUAGGCAUCCGCCAGCUGACGCGCCUGAGAAGCCAGGUAAGCCGGAUUACAGAUAUUUGGCGGCAUGUUGCCCAGAUCUUUGGC
rnacentral:antisense_RNA from 1 species